AUCAUCGCGAAGCAUCUCUUUAGGCCUAACUUAAGGAGACGCUUUUGUCGCGUCUCCUUAGAACAAACCAAUAGAGACACUAAGUUGCGUCCCUCUAGAUUACCUAAGGAGGCACUUUCUUACGUCUCCUAAGAUGUCAAUUGUAGAGACGUCGGUCAUCAUCUCUGUAGGUUUCUAAAUUGUUUUGCACAACUUAAACACUGAGAUGUUCUGUUCUUGCUUUCUUCGUAGGUCUCUUGAACCUUGUUUUCUUUCUUCUAAUGCCAAUUUCUCAUUCUCCCCAUUUUCGCUUCCUUACGAAUUCACGAUAUUGGAGUAGAGACAAUGAUUUUCUCACUUGAUGAUUCUUUGAUGCAAUGCUCGAAUGAUAUUGAAACAGACUGUGAAGAUAAGAUGUGACACUUGACGACUACUACAAGUUAGUGGAUACAAAAUGAACUUCCUAGUGCUUUUGGAUAUUCUUGAGUUGGAAUAGAGCUAAAAAAAACAAUCACAUACUUUCUUUUUGUUCAUUUUGUAGACAUGUAAUGUUAGAUUUUGAUGCUCAACUUGUAACAAGCUACAUUUGGAAACUUAAUAUAUCAAGUUAAUUUAA